AGCGAACGCUGGCGGCAGGCCUAACACAUGCAAGUCGAACGAACUCUUCGGAGUUAGUGGCGGACGGGUGAGUAACACGUGGGAACGUGCCUUUAGGUUCGGAAUAACUCAGGGAAACUUGUGCUAAUACCGAAUGUGCCCUUCGGGGAAAAGAUUUAUCGCCUUUAGAGCGGCCCGCGUCUGAUUAGCUAGUUGGUGAGGUAAUGGCUCACCAAGGCUACGAUCAGUAGCUGGUCUGAGAGGAUGACCAGCCACAUUGGGACUGAGACACGGCCCGAACUCCUACGGGAGGCAGCAGUGGGGAAUCUUGCGCAAUGGGCGAAAGCCUGACGCAGCCAUGCCGCGUGGAUGAUGAAGGUCUUAGGAUUGUAAAAUCCUUUCACCGGUGAAGAUAAUGACUGUAGCCGGAGAAGAAGCCCCGGCUAACUUCGUGCCAGCCGCCGCCGUAACAC
rnacentral:rRNA from 1 species